rnacentral:lncRNA from 1 species
UACCCUUCUCCACUUAAAUACCGUUUUUAUAUCCAUGGGUUUGAACCCGUGACGUGCUCCCACACAUCACGCACUAUGUUCUUACUAGACCAAAACCCUGGGGGCUCACUCAUUCUACAUUAACGCACUUAAACAACACAAACAUAUAAACACGUAUAGCAAAAAUCAACCACGAAAAAAGAACACUAUUAAACGGCAAAUCAUCAACAACGUCAUAAUAACAGACUAACGGAGCGAAAAUGGAGGUAUACCUGCAGGUUGUUCUCUUUGAUGUGGGCCCAAAUCAACUUAAGGGCUUGAGUACGAGGAAUCUCAGCAAUUCCACCAAGGAAUGCCUGCAUUUCCGGCGAAACUCGACGCGGCUUCAUAAUCCCCCUCGGUUCACGCUUCUUCGGCUCUGUAUCCACCGGCUUAGAAGCUGUGGCGAAGGUAACCAUGCGCACAGUGUGUAGAUUAGCAUGAUAAGCAGCAAGAGGAGAAGCGAGCUUAACCGAAUAAGACGAAGCUGACUUCACAAACGACGCCGUUUCGCCGGCGGUAGAGAAUAUCGAGAAUGAGCCCAAGGACACCGCCAUUAUCUUCUUUCACGAGCGUAGCUUUUGGUGUUUUUUGAAUUUGCAGUGAGAUAAGAGUGGGGGAAAGGGUUUCUUGUGUCCGUGAAAAAUCAGGGUGAACCCGCCUUCUGGAAUAUCUGCCACCGGCUUAGAAGUUGUGGCGAAGGUAACCAUGCGCACAGUGCGCAGAUUAGCAUGAUGAGCAGCAAGAGGAGAAUCGAGCUUAACGGAAUAAGACGAAGCUGACUUCAUAAACGACGCCGUUUCGCCGGUGGAAGAGAAUAUCGACAAUGAGCCCAAGGACACCGCCAUUAUCUUCUUUCUCGAGAGUAGUUUUUGGUGUUUUUUGAAUUUGCAGUGAGAUAAGAGUGGAGGAGAGGGUUUCUUGUGUCCGUGAAAAAUCAGGGUGAACCCGCCUUCUGGAAUUUCUGCUUUAUUGACAAUGUUGC